rnacentral:misc_RNA from 1 species
CAUUGCCACUUACAUAACCACCAGAUAGUUAUCCCAAACAUUAUGGGCCAAUUAGAAACAGAUUUACCAAAAUUUUGUCUCAGAUUUGAAAGAAACCAAUCUCUACUNNNNGAAAAAAAAACAUCCCAUUUGUCUUGGGACACCAAACCCAUCCAACCAAAUCUAGCACUAAAACGGUCUCGCAAAAAGUGAAGAACGUCUUCCACAACAUAACCACAGGCAAAGCAACUAGCAUCAACGGUCAAUCCCCGGGACUUGCGUUGUGCAUCGGUAAGAGUACGGCCUUAAGAUGCCAAACACAAGAACACUCUAAUCUUCUCAGGACCCUUCUAUGACCAAAUAAGGUCCCAUAUUCUGUCCACAGCAAUACAGCAAGUAGAUUCCAACAAGAGGAGAGAAGAUUGAAUAGAAAACCUACCAUCUUUAGAGGGAGACCACACCAACACGUCUCUGCUUACUUCUUGCUGCG